rnacentral:rRNA from 1 species
UCCAGACUCCUACGGGAGGCAGCAGUGGGGAAUAUUGCACAAUGGGGGAAACCCUGAUGCAGCGACGCCGCGUGAGUGAAGAAGUAUUUCGGUAUGUAAAGCUCUAUCAGCAGGGAAGAUAAUGACGGUACCUGACUAAGAAGCCCCGGCUAACUACGUGCCAGCAGCCGCGGUAAUACGUAGGGGGCAAGCGUUAUCCGGAUUUACUGGGUGUAAAGGGUGCGUAGGUGGCAGGGCAAGUCAGAUGUGAAAGCCCGGGGCUCAACCCCGGUACUGCAUUUGAGACUGUCCAGCUGGAGUGCAGGAGAGGUAAGCGGAAUUCCUAGUGUAGCGGUGAAAUGCGUAGAUAUUAGGAGGAACACCAGUGGCGAAGGCGGCUUACUGGACUGUAACUGACACUGAGGCACGAAAGCGUGGGGAGCAAACAGGAUUAGAUACCCGCGUAAA